AUGUCGGAGCCGGUCUCUUUUAGAGAGGAAGACUCAAACAUCCCCAGAGAGGACACCUCAAACAAGGAGCCAGCUCCACUCAAAGGCAAAAUCAGCAACCUGAACUUUGAUCCGUUCCCAGAACUGGGGUUCCCUGCAGUGUUCAUCUACACCUGGUCAAGACAUUUGGCUCCACCGGGAACUUCUCACGCUUGGCUCUUCGCAUGGAUCACGAGAGCAGAGCUGGCGAAGGAAGGCAGGGAGAUGGGCAUGAAAACUGCAGAGCUCAGAGAUAUUCGAGAUUCCAGGAGUGGGGAGGUGGGAAUCACAGGGAACACAGCCCCAUCUGUCUUCCCCUUGGCUUCCUGCUGCACCAGCACAAGCCGCACUUGCCGGGAUAGACAAGUCGUUUGUCUCGUGACUGGCUUUUCACCAUCAUCAGUGAAAAUCCAAUGGAAUUCUGCCGGAGUGACUCAGAAGGGCAAAAAUUUCCCAGAGAUGAUGGCCAGGAACGGGCUUUAUACCCAGACCAGCAUGCUCACCAUCCUUGCCAGUGACUGGAAGAGCGAUACCUACCAGUGCAGUGUGACACAUGACGGGACAGGGAAAACAGUGUCCAAGAAGUUCCUGGAGGAAUCAUGUGGUCCAAUGAUCCCGCCCCAGGUUCAUCUCUUGGUCCCCUCCUGUGAGGACGGCUCCAUGGAUAAUUUGCUGGAGCUGGUUUGCCUUCUUCUGAGAUUCCGACCCGACAAAGCCAACGUGAAAUGGCUGGUGAACAAUAAGGAAACGAGUCUCCCCACCACCGUCUUCUCCUCUUCGUUGCAUGCAGACGGCUCCUACAUGAGCCAGAGCCGGCUGAACAUCAGCAAGCAGAGCUGGGAAAACGGGGACAUCUUCACCUGUCAAGUGACUCAUCCAGCUGGGGAAACGGAGCCUUCCGUGUACAACACCAGCAAGUGCUUGGCCUGCCCCAAAAGCUCACUUGAGCCAACCCUUUACUUGGCCAAACCCUCCUACGAAGAUGUGAUCAAGAAUUUGGGUCAUGUGACCUGUCUGGUUUUGGGUUAUGACUUAGAAGCCACCACAAUCACCUGGCAAGUGGAGGGGAAAGUCAGCUCUGCAGGGAAAACAGAAUCCCCAAAAAAGAACAACAAUGGGACGAUCAGCCUGGUCAGCUCCCACCCAGUGUCGCUCUCACAGUGGGGACAAGGCACCAGAUUUACCUGCAAAGUGAGAACGCUCUGUUCUGGAGAACUCACCCAGCACAUAAACAUGGUCAAUAAAGACAUGGCUAAGAAGGAGCCUUCCAUCACCAUCUCAAAAGCCUACCAUGAAAAUCUCUUGGGGACCAAAGAGUCCUUGACUCUCGUCUGUGAAGCUAGCGGCUUUUACCCCGAAGACAUCAGCAUCUCCUGGUUGAAGGAUAACUCCACGGAACUCACGGCCAGUUACAACAGUGGCCCCACGGCAGGAAGUGGCACCUUCUCGACCUACAGCAUCCUGAAGGUCAAUCGAAGCGAAGGAGCAGAAAUCUGCACCUGCAUGGUGCAUCACCCGGCCUUGGAGGAGCCCAAGAGAGUGGAGGAAAAGGUGUCCUUCGGUGGCAGUGACUGUCAUCGACCCCUUCCGAAGGUCUUCCUUGUUCCGCCAUCCCUGGAGGAUCUCUACAUAGCACAGAACGCCACCAUCACUUGUCUGGUGAGUGACUUGGAGACGCCCAGCAGGCCGAAUAUCUCCUGCAGCAGGAGAAAUGGAGACACAUUGACUUUGGAGUCCACGGAGCCGGUGCCGCAUCCAAAUGGCACCUACAGUGCAACCAGCACCUUGCGGGUGUCUGUGGAGGAGUGGCAGGCCGGGGAGGAGUUCACCUUCACCGUGAAGCACCAAGACAUCCCAUCGGCUGAGGUCAAGACUAUCAACAAAAAUCGCGAGGUCUCUCUCCGGGCCCCUUCUAUCUAUAUCUUCCCUCCUCAUGCGGAGGAGCUGGCUCUCCAGAAAUGGGCCACCAUCACCUGCCUGGUCUCUGGCUUCUGGCCCAGAAACAUCUUGGUGACAUGGACCCGGAAGGACCGAAAUAUUCCACAGGAAGCCUACACCAACAUCGGCCCCAUGCGGGAGGCUGGGGAGGAGGAGAGCUACUUCAUCUACAGCAAGCUCAGAAUCCAGGCCUCUGAAUGGCAGAAGGGGGACACCUAUUUUUGCAUGGUGGUGCAUGAAGGCCUGCCCAAGAUCUUCAACCAACGGAACGUGGACAAAACCUCCGCACCUCUCUGCCUGGUGGAGGACCAAGGGGUCUGUGCAGAAGGAGAAGAGGGGGAAUCGGAUCCUCUCUGGACACCCGUAACCUUCAUCGUGCUCUUCCUCCUCUGCCUGGUAUACAGUGCCAGUGUCACGCUGCUUAAGGUGCAGUGA